rnacentral:rRNA from 1 species
GGCCUCAAAUCAGGUAGGACUACCCGCUGAACUUAAGCAUAUCAAUAAGCGGAGGAAAAGAAACUAACAAGGAUUCCCCUAGUAACGGCGAGUGAAGCGGGAAGAGCUCAAAUUUGAAAUCUGGUGGACUUUGUUCAUCCGAGUUGUAAUCUAGAGAAGUGUUUUCCGUGCCGGCCAAUGUACAAGUCCCUUGGAACAGGGCGUCAUAGAGGGUGAGAAUCCCGUACUUGACAUUGAUCACCGGCGCUCUGUGAUACAUUUUCAAAGAGUCGAGUUGUUUGGGAAUGCAGCUCAAAACGGGUGGUAAAUUCCAUCUAAAGCUAAAUAUUGGCGAGAGACCGAUAGCGAACAAGUACCGUGAGGGAAAGAUGAAAAGCACUUUGGAAAGAGAGUUAAACAGUAUGUGAAAUUGUUAAAAGGGAAACGAUUGAAGUCAGUCGUGUCUUCUGGACUCAGCC